UGGCCUUGACAUUGAUGGAACACUGUAGAGAUACGGUGGUGCCCUUCGGGGAACCUGAAAACAGGUGCUGCACGGCUGUCGUCAGCUCGUGUCGUGAGAUGUUGGGUUAAGUCCCGCAACGAGCGCAACCCUCGUCACUAGUUACUAACGGUUCGGCCGAGGACUCUAGUGAGACUGCCUUCGUAAGGAGGAGGAAGGUGAGGACGACGUCAAGUCAUCAUGGCCCUUACGGCCAGGGCGACACACGUGCUACAAUGGGGAGGACAAUGAGACGCAAUACCGCGAGGUGGAGCAAAUCUAUAAACCUUCUCUCAGUUCGGAUAGCUCUCUGCAACUCGAGAGCUUGAAGCUGGAAUCACUAGUAAUCGUAGAUCAGCCAUGCUACGGUGAAUACGUUCCCGGGUCU
rnacentral:rRNA from 1 species